rnacentral:tRNA from 1 species
GGGGCUGUAGCUCAGCUGGGAGAGCGUUUGGCUGGCAGCCAAAAGGUCAGGGGUUCGAGCCCCCUCAGCUCCAC